GCAGAUGGGCGGUCUCGUCCGCAAAGAGGGAGUGAUUCAUAGAGUGUUAGGGGAGACAGUUUUCCUUUUGAAAGCCCACUGAGAAGCCGAACUCUUCUCCCAGGCUUGCAGACUGAGGAAAGUAGGCAGGGCCCGGGCCUGACCCAGUCUCUGGAGGCUCAUUAGGCCUCCUCCGAGCCCUGGGCCUGGUCGGGUAAGGCCUCCAGGCGCCGGUUGCUGGGGGAGCGGUGACGUCGCGGGGUGAAAGUUGAGGGGCGGUGACGUAAGGCCUGACCGGGCGGAGGCUGGCGGGUUGGAGACUGGAGGGAGGGAGGGAGGGAGGGAAGGAAGGAAGCUGAGAAGGAGCGAGGUAGCGGGGGCGCGAGGCGUUUACCUGGGAGGCAGCGGCUGGGGCGCGCGCAGCGGCCGCGGCUCCCCCGCACCUGCGGCCAUGGAUGAAGAGCGCGCCCUAUACAUCGUCCGGGCCGGCGAGGCGGGGGCUAUCGAGCGGGUCCUGCGGGAUUACAGCGACAAGCAUAGGGCUACUUUCAAAUUUGAAUCAACAGAUGAAGAUAAAAGAAAGAAACUCUGUGAAGGCAUAUUUAAAGUCCUUGUAAAGGACGUCCCAACAACAUGUCAAGUGUCCUGCCUGGAAGUACUCCGCAUUCUAUCCAGAGACAAAAAGAUUUUAGUUCCUGUAACAACUAAAGAAAAUAUGCAAAUACUGCUGAGACUAGCCAAACUCCACGAGUCGGAUGAUUCUUUGGAGAAGGUGUCAGAGUUCCCAGUUAUUGUGGAAUCAUUGAAAUGUCUGUGUAACAUCGUGUUCAACAGUCAGAUGGCACAGCAGCUCAGCCUGGAACUGAACCUAGCUGCAAAGCUCUGUAACCUCCUGAGAAAAUGCAAGGACCGAAAAUUUAUCAAUGACAUAAAGUGCUUUGACUUGCGCUUGCUCUUCCUCUUGUCACUUUUGCACACUGACAUCAGGUCACAAUUGCGCUAUGAGCUCCAGGGACUACCGCUGCUAACCCAGAUCUUGGAAAGUGCCUUUAGCAUCAAGUGGACCGAUGAGUAUGAAUCGGCCAUAGACCAUAAUGGACCUCCUCUCUCACCUCAGGAGACAGACUGUGCCAUUGAAGCCCUCAAAGCUUUGUUCAAUGUGACGGUCGACAGCUGGAAGGUGCAUAAAGAGAGUGAUUCUCAUCAGUUCCGUGUCAUGGCAGCUGUCCUUCGCCAUUGUUUACUAAUCGUAGGUCCAACUGAAGACAAAACAGAAGAACUGCACAGUAAUGCUGUCAACCUUUUAAGCAAUGUUCCAGUCUCUUGUUUGGAUGUUCUCAUUUGUCCAUUAACCCAUGAAGAAACAGCCCAAGAGGCAGCGACUCUAGAUGAACUGCCCAGUGAUAAAACAACCGAGAAAGACACAGCUUUGAAAAACAAUACCAUGGUAUACAAUGGCAUGAAUAUGGAGGCCAUUCAUGUUUUACUCAGUUUUAUGGAGAAGAGAAUUGACAAGGGAAGCAGCUAUAGAGAGGGUCUAACUCCAGUUCUCAGCUUAUUAACAGAAUGUUCCCGAGCUCAUCGGAACAUCCGAAAAUUUCUCAAAGAUCAGGUUUUACCACCAUUGAGGGAUGUGACAAAUCGACCUGAAGUUGGCUCAACUGUGAGAAACAAGCUGGUGCGCCUCAUGACACAUGUUGACCUUGGCGUCAAGCAAAUUGCUGCCGAGUUCCUUUUUGUCCUUUGCAAAGAGAGAGUGGACAGUCUGCUGAAAUACACUGGCUAUGGGAACGCUGCAGGACUGUUGGCGGCCAGGGGCCUCUUGGCUGGAGGAAGAGGAGAUAAUUGGUACUCAGAGGACGAGGACACCGACACUGAAGAAUACAAAAAUGCAAAACCAAACAUUAAUCUUAUCACUGGUCAUUUAGAGGAACCAAUGCCAAACCCUAUAGAUGAAAUGACAGAAGAACAAAAAGAAUAUGAAGCCAUGAAACUUGUCAACAUGCUUGAUAAACUUUCCAGGAGAGCAGAUGUGAAGGACCUGCACCAGGAUGGUGGUUAGCAACAGUGUCCCGUGCCAAAGCUCUUACCAAAGUGAUGACUAAGACUUUGAAAGCAAAAAUAAGCCCCUGCACUCAUGCAUGGGCCUGGAAUGGUGAGUGUGUAUGGGUGAGUCCAGUGUGCUUAGCACAGCUGCCAUUACCUAGCAGUAGCACACUCACACUCUGAUUAUGCCUUCAGCCAUUGCUGGCCAAGGGUAGGAACGUUUUAAUUACAGUUUUGUUUCUACUCCUCUGAUCCCCUUUGUUUCUUUAACUGAAACCAGAUGAGUAAAUCUCAUGCUCCAUUCUCACUCCCAGCACUGUUCAAUAAGGCUCAUUGCCCAUUUGCUUGUGUUUUAAACUGUAUGUAAAUAAAUAAGCAAUGCCUAUCCUGCCACCACUUUUCUUUUUCUCAUCCACUCACUCACUGGCCACUAACUGUGCUUCCCACCCCACUUCUAUGUUGCCAGCCACAUUAAUAUAUGGGACAUGGCUUUCUUAGUGUUGGCAUCAAAUAUAAGGAUAAUACACAUGAAUCAAGGUUUUUAACUCAGUAAGGUUGUGAGUGAUUUACUACUGGAAAAUAAGAUACAUAACUUUUUUCUACAUAAAUAAAUCCUAUUGCUCAUCUUACAGAAAUACAAAAACCUGUAAUUAAUUGCAUAUGCCUUUAUCUAGUCUAGGAUAUAUUUUUAGGGUGCAUUUCAGAAACACUCCACCUUUUUAAAGCACCAGAGUUCAAAGGUCGUCAUCGUUCCGGUCAGGAGAUCCUUUGGAUCUGUACUGUUUGCUGUGGGGACUGCUAGUCUGUGACUACUGAACAUUUGCAAUGUGGUUAAUCCAAAUUAGCAUGUCCUCUAAAUAGAGGAAGAGAGUGGAAAGUGUCAGUCUUUAAUUAUUUAGUAGAUUAUGUGUUUAAACUGACCAAGUUUUGUACUGGAUUAAAUUGAAAUCAACUUUACCUCAAUUUACUUUUCUGCCUGGCUAGUUGGACAUUGACUAUCAAUAUUCAGCUUAUAUGGUGGCUUGCCUCAUAUUUCUCAUACACCAGCACCAGUAUAUUUCUGAUACUCCAUCAUUAAGGUUCCAUAAAAAUUCAAUUAAGGGAGCUUGGUGCUUUAUACACUGAUAAACCCUCACAGGAGCAAGAGAGGGUUGUUGUGAGAAGCUUGAUUCUGUGCAUCUUAGUUUAGAGGGCUGUCUCAGUGGCUCGACACCUAGGUUGUCCUGUGCCCUUUGCAUUCACUAUUGGGAGUCAUUGAGUGCUUGGUUAAAGCUCAAGCUGAAAUGGCUCUUGACAAUUAGCAAAAAACAUGAAACAAAAAUAUUCUCCUUCCUAGUUGCUUUCCUCUUUUAACUUUUAGAUCUUCCCAAUUAGAAGAGGUGUUAGGACUUUCUGUUUGUACUGCUGUAUUUAACAUAACAGACCUUUUAUUUCAUGAUGUUAAUUUGGAUAACAGGGUAAAGGAGUUUUCUAAGAAUGCUGCCAUUACUUAAGGCUAGAACUAAAUUGUGUUCUUUCUGCACUAUCCCUAACUUCAUUCUCUAAUGUGUUCCUAACUUUGCUGUCUAACACAUAGCAGCUCUUUUUAGAAGCUUUGCAUGCUGUCUUCUAACAUAAAUGAAAAUAAUAAAAAGCUAACUUAGUGCUUCAAACUAUAAAAAUGCUUCCAUAUGUGUUCCCUGUUGAUCAUUAAGACAAUCUUGUGAUCUAAAUAGGACGGGAGGUAUCAGAGGUUAAGUGACUGACACAGGAGCAAGCAAUGCAUCUACUUCAAAACUUUCAAAUACUGCCCUGUUUUGAAAAAUUACUAACAAUUCCGAGAAGUUUGUCACUCUGAUUAUUUUUAAAUGAAACGUAAGUUUUAAAUAAGUACAAACCACCAAAGACCAACAGUGAGCAUGUUUAUGUUGACAGACUGCAGAUUAGAGUGGAAAUAUAUCAUGCACCCCUGUUUUCUACUCCAUAUCCAGUAUCAUUAGGUAAAUAACUAGCUUUCUGAGGGAAACAAUAGAAGUUCUACCAUCCUUUGUUAAAACUGGGUUUUCUCAUUGUUUUUAAAAAAGAAUGAAUAUGGUAACCUAACAGAUUCUUAAAACAUCAUCACACUACUAAAUCUUAGCUUUAAAAUAACUUCAUAUGGGAAAUUGUAGACAAUUGCCAAUCAUGUUACAAAGAAAAAAGGGUGUGGUGAUAUGAGCAGUUCACCAUGACCAUUUAUCUUGGAACUGACAUAUUUACAUAGCAUGCUUUACUUUUCCAGUGGUGCCCCAGCUUAGAACACAAUGGUAAGGCUGAGUAGAAGGUCUCAGAAAUUUAUUAAGAUGCAAUUGGAAGACCUUUUAUUUACUGUGGAAAAGCCAUUAUUACCAUUUUUUUCCUCCUCAGUCAGUGUCCUGGUGAAAGAUCAGUAUAACCAGUCUACUAGGAAGCCGUUAGAUAAAAGGUGAAGAAGCAAUGUCACACCUAAAGGCCACUGCACUCACAGCAUCCCAUGUAGUUAUGUAACUCCUGCUCUAAGAAGGGCUAUUACCAGCCGUGAGAACCCAGUGCACUUUAGAGACUUGUGACUACUUCAGCUACUCGCUCCUGGCUUGGAGUUCAGCAGGCACUGCAGAGCUGCACGCUCGGAGCUAUCAGGAGAUCCAUCCCCAUCGGCAUUUUAUGUUAAUUAAAAUACUUCAUUUAUAUACUAAUGUCUCAUGCCAUCUUUCAAAGGCUAAAAGGAAUUAAAUAUGAAAUGGCUAAUUUAACAUGUCAGGGCUCUUUUUCCAGGCCAACCUCACGUUAAGACCAGGAAUCCCUGUGCCAAAGUAAUGGUUUCCCAAUUAUCCUGUCUUGGGUUUUGUUGUACAUUGAACAGAAGGCAACAAAACAAGUAUGUAACAGAACCUGGCUAAAUAGCAGCGCCCUCAUUAAAAUAGAGAGCCAGGGUGACUAAAGGGAGCAAUGCUUCAUAGGUCCCCCUUUCUUCUUCUCUAAUCAUAGAACAAAAUCUGUUACACAAAAGGCUCAGAACUAUUAUGCAGUACUCAAUUAGAGGGAGGUGAAUAGGUCUCUAACAUGCUGUUUUAUCAAAAGAGCAGACUGGUGUUUGCAUGAUUGUUGUUUCAUUACAGACCCUGUCAUUAAUUCCAUGUGUCAAUACUGCCCUGUAGUACACAGAGCAGACAAGAAAGAAGAGCCCUUGAAAACAAGGGAAUGAUUUUUGAGUCGUUAUCAAGCUAAGUGGCAAGCGGGAAGCUGAAACUCGUAUAGUUGAACAUUCUUGGAGGCUUAUCUCUUCCCUGGCCAGAUGCCUGAUCAGAUGAGAAGCCCGCCAUGAUACUGUCACAGUGCCUAGAAUGGGCUCUUUAUCCAGUAGACAUCACUGUACUUUUUGGUGAUAACGGGGGCAGUCUUAACUGUGUUAAGGCCUGUAUAUAGCAUUGAAGAGAGGAGCUGCUUAAACCAAUGGGACUAAAACCUGAUGGGACAAUAACGCCUUUGGAGGAAGCACUCAGCCAGUAUUCUGUCAUCGAAGAGACCAGCUCCGACACAGACUGAAAGCAUCGUCACCUGCUCACUCUCAUCUGGCUUUUAUCAGCAUCUUUUCUCUGUAGCUCCAGGGGAAUCUUCUCUAAAACAUUUAUGCCCUCACUGUGGCUAGAAACACAUUAACUGGUUUACUCAUUGGGAAUCCAGCGUCUUUAAGAAGUGAUCCUGUGUUUUCUGCAACAUCUAGGCAUUCAUACAGAGCUGUGGUAGGCAGAGUUGCAAGGCUAGAAGCAGAAGCAGCCAUCCCGUUUCAUCUGGAUGGAGUACGGAACCUCACUGCAAAGCAGCCUGCUCAAUCUUGUUGCUGGAAUUCCCAGCUAAAGGUUCAGCUGCGUCCUUCCACCUGCCAGUGAAAGCCGCCCCUGCUGAGUCUCCAGCAACCCAAGGCACACGAGAGCCCGAGGAGCUGGUACAUAAGGGCUGAGGCGAGUGACUCCUUAGAUCAGCACUGACCGAAUGAAAGCCAGGCAGCUGCUCUGUAAACCUAGUCCCACACUUUAUUUCAGUUUUUAUAAAUGUGGAAACACACACACAACACACACAGCCCCAGACUUACAAACCUAUUACACUCUAAAAGUUUGUAUGUCACUUAGCUAAAACUUCAAAUUAAAUCUCUCCCUAUGAGGAGUUAGAAAUGAUGGUUUAGUUCCCGGCAGCUACACGUGCCUAUUUAUUCCUCUUGUUCCUAAACACUACUAGUACCGUAGGGCUGGACCACCGUCUGCAUCGCUGCAUCCAGGGCGCGCAUUCUGAGGUAGCGCUCAGGGUGCCAAGCACACACUCAUCCUCCAGGCAGCAGAGAGGGUGGGGCUCCCCGGGUAGUGGGAGUUCUCUCGUGGCCUGUGCUGGGGGGUAGGGAGCCCACAGCACCCAUUUGUACAUAAAGCUCAUUCGUAUGUCACAUGUUUUAAACAGGGGUCUCUGUGUAUUUGUGUGUGUGUUCUACCUUUCUACCAUAUGUGAUCAGUUUAAUGGUAACUUUAUUUAUUUAAAAAAAAAAGAAGAAACACAAAUAGUUACUAUUAAACUGAUUAAGGCUGUUUAUUUUUACUCUUAGAAAUGGUCAUAUGAAGUAGACGUGCAAUCAUGUAGGCAGCAGGCCAAGUUGAUCAGUGGCUAAAGUUGAAAGGGGGUUGGUUUCCUUUCAUAUAUGUAUGUAUGUGUAGAUACACGUACAUAGAUAUAUGCACACAUAGAUUAUGUGCUUAACCACUGCCUUUUAAAACUUUAAAUAAAAUGUUGGGGAUGAUUCAAUUUA